GCUCCUUCAACAACAACAGCUAGUCAGACACCUCGGUAGCUUUCUAGCAAACACAGCUACAACAUUCACUCUCUUUACACUCUUUUGGUGUAUAUUAAUCGCUGUGUAUUAAACACACUUCUGUCGUAUGUACUUGUUGGCCCAUUUAAUUAUAUAUUUACGUUGUUUGUCAGCUAGCUGGUUUGCGAAGUUAGUUUAGAACUAGGCUAGUCGCUAAUGCUAGCUAGCUAACAUCCCCGACCAUGAGUUCACUAAGCUACUCUCCUCCUGAUAAAGAAGAGGGAUCUGCUGGACGGAGGAAGAAACUCUCGUGAAAGAGGAGGAGAAAGAGAAGAAUGUUACAAUACAAAAACAAGUAGAGAGUGAGGCUGUUACCGUGAAAGAAGAAGAAGAAGAGAAAGAUGCGUUCAGAGUGAAAGAGGAGGAGAAAGAGAAAGAGGAUGUCGUUUUUGGAGUGAAAGAGGAGCAGGGGGAGAUUACGGUCACAUUGGAGGAAGAAGAGGAGGUUGGAGAUCUGUUUAACACCAGAGAGAGACGUGACUAUUGUGGAUCCUCUGCGGAGCCUCAACAACCUCAUGAUGCUGACGAGGCAGAGAAGAGUCUCUCCAGAUCAGAACACCUCAAGAAACACCUGCAGAGAAUCCACACGGGAGAUACAUAUUUUAGCUGUACUCAAUGUGGGAUGAGUUUUACUACAUCUAGCCAUCUUAUUGUACACCAGAGAACACACACGAGAAAAACCUUAUAUCUGGGAUCAGUGUGGGAAGCGUUUUGUUCAAUCUAGCGAUCUGACAGUGCACCAGAGAACACACACAGGAGAGAAACCUUAUAGCGGUGGUCAAUGUGGGAAGAGUUUUACUUCAUCUAGCCAUCUGACUGUACAACAGAGAACACACACAGGAGAGAAACUUCGUAGCUGUGACCAGAGAUAAUCUGAUAAAACAUCUCUGUUAAAAUAUCAGAAAAUACAUGGAGUUGUUUCAUGAUAUCAAUGAAUUAAUGUCUCAAUGUAGAAUGUUUUAACAUUGUAGUAGGAGUAUUUUAAUGAUGUCACAAUGUAGAAUGUUUUAACAUUGUAGUAGGAGUAUUUUAAAGAGUAUGGGGUAAAAGUGGAAAUGGGCACAGCCUUCUAAAAUCACCACAGAAACCAGUAAAUGUAUGCGCGAUACUGACUUGCACUUUCAAUAGUAAUUUGUUUUUAUCAAUUAAAAACUCCAGUCAUUGA